rnacentral:tRNA from 1 species
GUCCAUGUAGCGCAUUGGAUAGCGUGUUGAACUUCUAAUCCAAAGUUCGUGGGUUCGAAUCCCGCCAGGGAUG